rnacentral:rRNA from 1 species
UACGUAGGGUGCAAGCGUUGUCCGGAAUCAUUGGGCGUAAAGAGCGUGUAGGCGGCUCGAUUAGUCCGCUGUAAAAGUCCAGGGCUCAACCCUGGGAUGCCGGUGGAAACUGUCGGGCUAGAGUCCGGGAGAGGCGAGUGGAAUUCCUGGUGUAGCGGUGAAAUGCGCAGAUAUCAGGAGGAACACCAAUUGCGAAGGCAGCUCGCUGGGACGUUACUGACGCUGAGACGCGAAAGCGUGGGGAGCAAACAGG